rnacentral:rRNA from 1 species
GACGAACGCUGGCGGCGUGCUUAACACAUGCAAGUCGAACGGUGAGGCCCUGCUUUUGUGGGGUGCUCGAGUGGCGAACGGGUGAGUAACACGUGUGUAACCUGCCUUUGACUUUGGGAUAACUUCUGGAAACGGUGGCUAAUACCGGAUAGGAGCUCUUGCUGCAUGGUGGGGGUUGGAAAGUUUCGGUGGUUGUGGUUGGACUCGCGGCUGAGUAGCAUGUUGGUGUGGUAGUGGCUUACCAAGGCGUCGACGGCUAGCCGGCCUGAGAGGGUGACCGGCCACAUUGGGACUGAGAAACGGCCCAGACUCCUACGGGAGGCAGCAGUGGGGAAUAUUGCACAAUGGGCGGAAGCCUGAUGCAGCGACGCCGCGUGCGGGAUGACGGCCUUCGGGUUGUAAACCGUUUUCGCCUGGGACGAAGAGAGAGUGACGGUAAUGUAUAAGAAAGCACCGGCUAACUACGUG